AGUGAACGCUGGCGGUAGGCCUAACACAUGCAAGUCGAACGGCAGCACAGUAAGAGCUUGCUCUUACGGGUGGCGAGUGGCGGACGGGUGAGGCAUACAUCGGAAUCUACUUUUUCGUGGGGGAUAACGUAGGGAAACUUACGCUAAUACCGCAUACGACCUACGGGUGAAAGCAGGGGAUCUUCGCACCUUGCGCGAUUGAAUGAGCCGAUGUCGGAUUAGCUAGUUGGCGGGGUAAGGGCCCACCAAGGCGACGCUCCGUUGCUGGUCUGAGAGGAUGAUCAGCCACCCUUGAACUGAGGCACGGUCCAGACUCCUACGGGAGGCAGCAGUUGGGAAUAUUGGACAAUUGGCGCAAGCCUGAUCCAGCCAUACCGCGUUGGUGAAGAAGGCCUUCGGGUUGUAAAGCCCUUUUGUUGGGAAAGAAAAGCAGCAGGUUAAUACCCCGCUGUUCUGACGGUACCCAAAGAAUAAGCACCGGCUAACUUCGUG
rnacentral:rRNA from 1 species